rnacentral:rRNA from 1 species
GACGAACGCUGGCGGCGUGCUUAACACACGCAAGUCGAACGCUGAAGCCCUUUCGGGGGUGGAUGUGUGGCGAACGGGUGAGUAACACGUGGGUAAUCUGCCCUGCACUCUGGGAUAAGCCUUGGAAACGGGGUCUAAUACCGGAUAGGACACAUCGCCGCAUGGUGUGUGUGUGGAAAGUUCCGGCGGUGCAGGUUGAGCCCGCGGCCUAUCAGCUUGUUGGUGGGGUGAUGGCCUACCAAGGCGACGACGGGUAGCCGGCCUGGGAGGGUGACCGGCCACACUGGGACUGAGACACGGCCCAGACUCCUACGGGAGGCAGCAGUGGGGAAUCUUGCGCAAUGGGCGAAAGCCUGACGCAGCAACGCCGCGUGGGGGAUGACGGCCUUCGGGUUGUAAACCUCUUUCGACCGGGACGAAGGGUGACUGACGGUACCGGUAGAAGAAGCACCGGCUAACUACGUGCCAGCAGCCGCCGCCG